CCUACGGGAGGCUGCAGUAGGGAAUAUUGCUCAAUGGGGGAAACCCUGAUGCAGCAACGCCGCGUGGAGGAUGAAGGUUUUCGGAUUGUAAACUCCUUUUGUUAGAGAAGAUAGUGACGGUAUCUAACGAAUAAGCACCGGCUAACACCGUGCCAGCAGCCGCGGUAAUACGGAGGGUGCAAGCGUUACUCGGAAUCACUGGGCGUAAAGAGCGCGUAGGCGGGAUAGCAAGUCAGAUGUGAAAUCCUAGGGCUUAACCAGAGAACUGCAUUUGAAACUGUUAUUCUAGAGUAUGGGAGAGGUAGGUGGAAUUCUUGGUGUAGGGGUAAAAUCCGUAGAGAUCAAGAGGAAUACUCAUUGCGAAGGCGACCUGCUAGAACAUAACUGACGCUGAUGCGCGAAAGCGUGGGGAGCAAACAGGAUUAGAUACCCUAGUAGUC
rnacentral:rRNA from 1 species